UACGGAGGAUGCGAGCGUUAUCCGGAUUUAUUGGGUUUAAAGGGUGCGUAGGCGGUAUUUUAAGUUAGUGGUAAAACGUCGGGGCUUCACCUUGAUUGGCCAUUAAAACUGGAGUACUAGAGUACAGACGAGGUAGGCGGAAUAAGUUAAGUAGCGGUGAAAUGCUUAGAUAUAACUUAGAACCCCGAUAGCGAAGGCAGCUUACCGCAGCGUUACUGACGCUGAAGCUCGAAAGCGCGGGUAGCAAACAGG
rnacentral:rRNA from 1 species